AAUGUACUACCUCUGUUCGGAAAUACUUGUUCUAAAAAUGGAUGUAUCUAAAUUUAUUUUAAUUAUAGAUACAUCUAUUUUAUUCAUUUCUAAGACAAAUAUUUUUGGACGGGAGGAGUAUGAA
rfam:Triticum urartu cultivar G1812 contig794277, whole genome shotgun sequence.